AUAAUGGAUCGCCGCCGCAUGGCUCAGCCAUGCCACGUCGCCGCCGUCCACCUCCGCCAUGGCCGGCCUAGCGCCGCCGUCCAUGUGCGCCAUGAUCGUCCCAGCGCCUCUGUCCACCUCCUCCAUGGCUGCAAUGGCGUCGCUGUCCACCUCUCCCAUGUCUGCCUCAGCGCCGCCGCCUGCUUCCACCGUGCUCACUCACCCCACUGCCGUUGUUUACCUCGACCAUGGCCCCCAGCAACUCUUCCCAUCACCAAUCCAUCCCCCUAUCUCACCAUUCCCAUCGCCGGCAAGGUCCGCCAGAAGAGGCGGACAUGAAUCCCCAAGAUCAAGAUCCAAGAGGACUAGGAUGAUUGCAGCGUCAGAGAAGAAUUUGUAACAAUCUACAAUAAGGGUAUGUAUGAACAAAACAGAAAUUCAUGUGAGUUCAGGGAUAGGGGCGAGGGGGGCUCGGACGAAGAUGGGUCAUCGCCAAGAACGAAGAAAUGAGCAUUUAACAAUCCCAGGAAGGCAUUGACUUUUGGCAGCAAUGGCGAUCUUCUUUAGUAGCCUUUUACUUUUUGUUCAUGUUUAUUAAGCUUGAGAGCUGAUCUGUUGCUCCAAACAGUGUUUAUAAUUUAUCUCCAACCAAAAAACACUUCAUUCAAGACAUAAUUGUGAGACUAUUUUUACAAGUAUAUGCUUUCAACUUCAAAGUUUUGUUCAUUUUCA